UCCAAACGGAUAAUAAUAUAUUACAACUGCUCUUCAUCCAACAAAAGAAGCGCUUUCCCUUGAAAAUCUGAACUUUAAAAUCCAAAAUUUAAUUAAACUCUUCCCCCCUUCUCCAUCUCUCUAUCUCUACAUAUACAUAUACAUACAGUAAAUACACAUAUUCAAAGGUAUUUAGUGUGAACUGAUUUCGCUGUAGCUUGAUUUCAAGUUGGGAAAUUUAGCUUUUUGGUGAGCUGAAUUUCAAGAUUUGCUCAAGGAUUUCAUCAUUUGAAGUUGUUAGGCAAAAAGGGAUUUUUUUAGGGUUCUUGAUCCGGGUAUUCUAAAAUUUGGGCUUUGGGUUUUUGAAUUGAUGGGUGUUGUAAAGUUUUGAUUUUUACAAGUGGGUUGUUGUAAGUAUGUGUUGUUUAAGUUUAUAUGAGAUUUGGGGUCUUGAUCGGCGGGUUUUUAUCAAGGGGGAGUAAUUUGGGGGANUAUGUGUUGUUUAAGUUUAUAUGAGAUUUGGGGUCUUGAUCGGCGGGGUUUU
rnacentral:lncRNA from 1 species